CCGAGAAUCUUGGUCAAUGGGCGCAAGCCUGAACCAGCGACGCCGCGUGCGGGAAGAAGGUCUUCGGAUUGUAAACCGCUUUUCUCCGGGAAGAAGCCUAGACUUUUAGUCUAGGUUGACGGUACCGGAGGAAUAAGAGGGUGCUAAUUCUGUG
rnacentral:rRNA from 1 species